rnacentral:lncRNA from 7 species
AUGUGCUUUCUCCUCGAGACUCCCCCAUUUAACCCGAAAAUUACGCGUUUUCUCUUUGAGAAUCUCCGAUUUUACCCGAGAAUCACGCGUUUUCUCUUCGGGAAUCCCUCAUUUAACCCCAAAAUCACGCAUUUUGUCUUCGGAAAUCCCCCAUUUAACCCGCAAAUCACGUGUUUUCUCUUCGAAAAUCUGCCAUUUAAGCAAAAAAUCACGCGUUUUCUCUUCGAGAAUCCUCCAUUUAUGCGAAAAUCACGCUGUUUCUCAUCGCAAAUUUCCCAUUUAAGCGAAAAUCACGUGUUUUCUAUUCUAAAUCUCGCAUUUAAGCGAAAAUCACAUGCUUUGUCUUCCGAAAUCCCGUUUAACCUUAAAAUCAUGUGGUUUCUCUUCGAGAAUCCCCCAUUUAAUCCACAAAUCGCGUGUUUUCUCUUCGACAAUCCCCCAUUUAACCCGAAAAUCACACGUUUUCUCUUUGAGAAUCCCCCUUUUAAGAGAAAAUCAAGCGAUUUCUCUUUGAGAAUCACCCAUUUAACCCGAAAAUCACACGUUUUCUCUUCGAGAAUCCGCGAUUUAACUGAAAAUCACGCUUUUCUCUUCGAGAAUCCCCCAUUUAACCCGAAAAUCACACGUUUUCUCUUUGAGAAUCCCCCAUUUAAGCGAAAAUCAUGCGUUUUCUCUUCGAGAAUCUUCCAUUUAACCCGAAAAUCACGCGUUUUCUCUUUGAGAAUCCCCCAUUUAACCCGAAAAUCACGCGUUUUCUCUUUGAGAAUCCCCCACUUAAGCGAAAACAAUGCGUUUUCUCUUCAACUAUCCCUUAUUUAACCCGAAAAUCAUGCGUUUUCUCUUCGCAAAUCCCCCAUUUAAGUGAAAAUCACGCGUUUUCUCUUCGCAAAUCCCCCAUUUAAGCGAAAAUCACGUUUUCUCUUCGGAAAUCCGCCAUUUAAGCGAAAAUCACGCAUUUUCUCUUUGAGAAUCCCCCAUUUAAGUGAAAAUCACGCGUUUUUUUCUUCAAGAAUCCCUCAAUUAACCUGAAAAUCACACGUUUUCUCUUUGAGAAUCCCCCAUUUAAGCGAAAAUCACGCAUUUUCUCUUUGAGAAUCCCCAAUUUAACCCGAAAAUCAUGCAUUUUCUCUUCGGAAAUCCCCCAUUUUACCCAAAAAUCAUGCGUCUGCUAUUCGGAAAUCCCCCAUUUAACCCGAAAAUCAAGCGAUUUCUCUUCGAGAAUCCCCCAUUUAAGUGAAAAUCAUGCGUUUUCUCUUCGAGAAUCCCACAUUUAACCUGAAAAUCACGCGUUUUCUCUUCGAGAAACCCCUAUUAACCUGAAAAUCACACGUUUUCUAUUCGGAAAUCUAUUGUUUAACCCGAAAAUCAUGCGAUUUCUCAUUAAGAAGCUCCCAUUUAAGCGAAAAUCAUGUGCUUUCUCCUCGAGACUCCCCCAUUUAACCCGAAAAUUAUGCGUUUUCUCUUUGAGAAUCUCCGAUUUUACCCGAGAAUCACGCGUUUUCUCUUCGGGAAUCCCUCAUUUAACCCAAAAAUCACGCAUUUUGUCUUCGGAAAUCCCCCAUUUAACCCGCAAAUCACGUGUUUUCU